rnacentral:lncRNA from 1 species
GACGGACAGUGUUUGCUGUGCCAUAAAGAGCUCCGCAACUCCUCGGACCAAAAGGUCUGGCAACRUGUUUGGAGGCAAGUUCCUGCCCAUUUCAGUGGUUAGCUUUAGGUAUCUGGUUUGAAUAAGUCAACAUGACUAGGUGAGUAGGACUAAAAUAAUUAUGCUAUUUUUUGCCAUACUGACUUCUGUCAAACAGAUACCCAGAUGUUUUCACAGCUCCAGAAAAUGCGAUUAAUGCUAAACUAAUUAUCUGCUUAUUUAAGGUGCUUGGAGCUUUCUCUCUCUUGAAUGCCUGCUGCCUCAGCAGUGCUGGCUCCAUAAAUACAGUGUGACGGCGUGGCAGUCCAGUGGGACCACGAGUGGCCCUGGAAAUCCCCCUGGGCACAGCCGUCAGGAAUGACCAGUGACCCAGGGGGGUCCCUAUGGCCUGACCCUACUCCUGGAAGGAGCCUGUUUUUUCCAACAGGCAAGAGGUCUCCAUUUGCUCUGAGUUAUGUCCCCCCGMGUGGCUGCUCCCUGGGUCAGAGGCAUCACCCGUGAGACGAUGCCCUGCAUCAGCGGGCUGCAGAAGACAUCUCCUCCAGCGACCUGGCCAACGUGACGUGGCUGCGACAGGGCAAGGAGCUGCUGGGGCUGCAGGAAGCUUUCGUCCUUCCGCACGGCUUGCCUUUCACUGGACCACAGCUUCAGUUACCUUGCUCUUAAAACCACACCGGUACUCCCCUCUUGACGUGGACAUUUGCAACUGCGCUGUUAGGAUCCAGGGACUCAGAUCAGCUUGUGAGCACUGUGCUCCAAACAGAAUAAGCAGCCCAGGCCCCGUUUUGCUUUCAGAGCUGGUGACCAGUGCUGGGUCCAGCUGCUGCCCUCAGAGCUUCCCUGGUCCAGCGUGGUGACUGCUCUGCUGCAGCCAUCCCGUCUAGGUAUUCUCUGGUGUACAUGUUUCCYCUUAAACGAGCUCCAGGUGCGGAUCCAGCAGGGAUGCUGGUAAGGGAGCAAGGUGAGGGUAGGGGGUUGAUGCCACACAA